rnacentral:rRNA from 1 species
GACAGAGGUCCCGAGCGUUAGGCGGAAUCACUGGGCUUAAAGCGUGUGUAGGCGGAUCGUUAAGUACCUUGUGAAAGCCCAGGGCUUAACCCUGGAAUUGCCUUUAAGACUGCAUCGCUCGAAUUGUGGAGAGGUGAGUGGAAUUCCGAGUGUAGAGGUGAAAUUCGUAGAUAUUCGGAAGAACACCAGUGGCGAAGGCGACUCACUGGACACAUAUUGACGCUGAGGUGCGAAAGCGUGGGGAGCAAACAGG